GUGGGGAAUUUUGCGCAAUGGGCGAAAGCCUGACGCAGCGACGCCGCGUGGGUGAUGGAGGCCUUCGGGUCGUAAAGCCCUGUGGGGAGGGAAGAAGCUUAGGCUGACGGUACCUCCUUAGCAAGCACCGGCUAACUACGUGCCAGCAGCCGCGGUAAAACGUAGGGUGCAAACGUUGUUCGGAAUUACUGGGCGUAAAGCGCGCGUAGGCGGACUCGUGUGUCGGGUGUGAAAUCCCUCGGCUCAACUGGGGAAGUGCACUCGAAACUGCGAGCCUAGAGUACGGGAGAGGAGGGUGGAAUUCCCGGUGUAGAGGUGAAAUUCGUAGAUAUCGGGAGGAACACCAGUGGCGAAGGCGGCCCUCUAGACCGAUACUGACGCUGAGGCGCGAAAGCGUGGGGAGCAAACAGGAUUAGAUACCCGAGUAGUCC
rnacentral:rRNA from 1 species